GGAAAGAGCCCAGCACUGAAUCCCGCUGUUGUCACGGCAGCGGGAGAUGUGGUGUUCGGGAGGUUCCGCUUUCUCGUCGUCGCAUCUCCUGUCCAAGUUCGUCUUGAACGGGGCCGUUUUCCCGUAGAGGGUGCCAGGCCCGUAGCGACGGAGGGCGGCGGCGAGAGGGACUCUCCUCAGAGUCGGGUUGCUUGAGAGUGCAGCCCUAAGUGGGUGGUAAACUCCAUCUAAGGCUAAAUAUUACCGCGAGACCGAUAGCGAACAAGUACCG
rnacentral:rRNA from 2 species